rnacentral:rRNA from 1 species
GGCGCACGGGUGAGUAACGCGUGGAUACCUACCUCGAUGUGGGGGACAACAGCUGGAAACGGCUGCUAAUACCGCAUAAUCCCUAAGGGGGAAAGCCGCGAGGCGCAUUUUGAGGGGUCCGCGUCGGAUUAGCUAGUUGGUGGGGUAAAGGCCUACCAAGGCGACGAUCCGUAGCUGGUCUGAGAGGAUGAUCAGCCACACUGGGACUGAGACACGGCCCAGACUCCUACGGGAGGCAGCAGUGGGGAAUAUUGCGCAAUGGGGGAAACCCUGACGCAGCAAUGCCGCGUGGACGAAGAAGGCCUUCGGGUUGUAAAGUCCUUUUAGCAGGGAAGAUGAUGACGGUACCUGCAGAAAAAGCUCCGGCUAACUCCGUGCCAGCAGCCGCGGUAAUACGGAGGGGGCGAGCGUUGUUCGGAAUUACUGGGCGUAAAGGGCGUGUAGGCGGUUGUGCAAGUCAGAAGUGAAAGCCCAGGGCUCAACCCUGGAACUGCUUUUGAGACUGUACGACUGGAGUACGGUAGAGGGUGGUGGAAUUCCCCGUGUAGAGGUGAAAUUCGUAGAUAUGGGGAGGAACACCGGAGGCGAAGGCGGCCACCUGGACCGUAACUGACGCUAAGGCGCGAAAGCGUGGGGAGCGAACAGGAUUAGAUACCCUGGUAGUCCACGCUGUAAACGAUGAGUGCUGGUUGUCGCGGGUAUCGACCCCUGCGGUAACGAAGCAAACGCGUUAAGCACUCCGCCUGGGGAGUACGGCCGCAAGG